AACAGGGAUGCCUUAGUAACUGCGAGUGAAGCGGCAAAAGCUCAAAUUUGAAAUCUGGCGUCUUUGGGCGUCCGAAUUGUAAUUUGAAGGGGCAUCUUCGGAGAUGGCGCCGUCCUAAGUUCCUUGGAACAGGCCACGUCAUAGAGGGUGGAGAAUCCCGUGCCUGGGCGGCCUGUCCGUCUCCAUGUGAAGUGUCUCCGACGAGUCGAGUUGUUUGGGAAUGCAGCUCAAAAUGGGUGGUAAAUUUCAUCUAAAGCUAAAUACUGGCGAGAGACCGAUAGCGCACAAGUAGAGUGAUCGAAAGAUGAAAAGCACUUUGAAAAGAGAGUUAAAAAGUACGUGAAAUUGUUGAAAGGGAAGCGCUUGAGAUCAGACUCGACCUUAGGUGAUCAGCUAGGCUUCGGCUUGGUGCACUUGCCUUUGGUUGGGCCAGCAUCGGUUCUGACGGCGGGAUAAAAGGCGAAGGAAUGUGGCUCCCCUCGGGGAGUGUUAUAGCCUCUGUCAUAAUGCCGCCAGUUGGGACCGAGGACCGCGCUUCGGCUAGGAUGCUGGCGUAAUGGUCUUAAGCGACCCGUCUUGAAACACGGACCAAGGAGUCUAACAUCUAUGCGAGUGUUCGGGUGGAAAACCCUUGCGCGUAAUGAAAGUGAACGGAGGUGGGAACCCCUCACGGGGUGCACCAUCGACCGAUCCUGAUGUCUUCGGAAGGAUUUGAGUAAGAGCAUAGCUGUUGGGACCCGAAAGAUGGUGAACUAUGCCUGAAUAGGGUGAAGCCAGAGGAAACUCUGGUGGAGGCUCGCAGCGGUUCUGACGUGCAAAUCGAUCGUCAAAUUUGGGUAUAGGGGCGAAAGACUAAUCGAACCAUCUAGUAGCUGGUUCCUGCCGAAGUCCCCCUCAAGGAAA
rnacentral:rRNA from 1 species